rnacentral:ncRNA from 2 species
UGUGGUAUGCGUGACUGGCGGAACGUGGGUAACCACGAGGAAGCGUAUAUGGAAAACGCCGUACGCCUGGGCAAAGUAU